CACCAUCUCAUCAUAUUUCAAAAGAUGAGAACUUGCACCUGUUUAUAAUAAUAAAAUUUAAAAUUAGAGAAAUCAUAAAUUAGAAAAAAAAGACACUGAUUAUAAUUAAAUUAGUUUCUUAAAAUCUCCUACCUUUCCUUACAACUGGCUUCAACUUUUUACUUUUUCUCUUUUCAAGUACGCUUUUCAGUCGCUUGCCUUUUCC
rnacentral:lncRNA from 1 species